rnacentral:sRNA from 1 species
GCCAGGUGUGGUGGUGCACAUCUGUAAUCCCAGAAACUUGGGAGGCUGAGGCAGGAGGAUUGCAAGUUCAAAGCUAUUCUCAGCAAUUUAGCCAGGCUCUGAAGAAAUUAGCGAGAUCCUGUAUCUA